GAUGAACGCUGGCGGCGUGCCUAAUACAUGCAAGUCGAGCGAACGGACGAGAAGCUUGCUUCUCUGAUGUUAGCGGCGGAAGGGUGAGUAACACGUGGAUAACCUACCUAUAAGACUGGGAUAAUUUCGGGAAACCGGAGCUAAUACCGGAUAAUAUUUUGAACCGCAUGGUUCAAAAGUGAAAGACGGUCUUGCUGUCACUUAUAGAUGGAUCCGCGCUGCAUUAGCUAGUUGGUAAGGUAACGGCUUACCAAGGCAACGAUGCAUAGCCGACCUGAGAGGGGGAUCGGCCACACUGGAACUGAGACACGGUACAGACUCCUACGGGAGGCAGCAGUAGGGAAUCUUCGGAAAAGGGCGAAAGACUGACGGAGCAACGCAGCGUGAGUGAUGAAGGUCUUCGGAUCGGAAAACUCUGUUAUUAGGGAAGAACAUAUGUGUAAGUAACUGUGCACAUCGUGACGGUACCUAAUCAGAAAGCCACGGCUAACUACGUG
rnacentral:rRNA from 1 species